rnacentral:lncRNA from 1 species
GUGAAAGUUAAUAUUAUGCUGUUACGAACCUUAUGUUCUAUUGAAUUGCAAGGCUCCUUGUAGCAAAAACUUGAAUUUGUCACGGUCUGAAAAUUAUAUUUUUGGAAUCUACGGUCAAUAGGCUUUCUGUCGAUGCCUCACUCUUGCAUAACUAGAGAAUCCGUGCAGAUAAAAAGCAAGUUUUUCCAGCUGUGUAAUCGAAAAAGACCUGAAAGUUAAUAUUAUGCUGUUUCGAACGUUAUGUUCUAUUGAAUUUGAAGGCUCCUGUAGCAGAGUCUUGAAUUUGGGCUAGUCUGAAAAUUGCAUUUUUGGAAUCUACGGUC